AACGCACGAGACCUGCGGACCUGCGGAAGGAUCAUUACCGAGUUCAUGCCCUCACGGGUAGAUCUCCCACCCUUGUGUAUUCUAUGUUUGUGUUGCUUUGGCAGGCCGUGGGCCUCGCCCACCACCGGCUCUCGGGCUGGUGUGCGCCUGCCAGAGGACUCUUUAAACUCUGUUUGUUAGUGUCGUCUGAGUAUGAUAACAAUCGUUAAAACUUUUAACAACGGAUCUCUAGAUCGGAAG
rnacentral:misc_RNA from 1 species